rnacentral:rRNA from 1 species
UACGUAGGGUGCGAGCGUUAAUCGGAAUUACUGGGCGUAAAGCGUGCGCAGGCGGUUCGUUGUGUCGGUGGUGAAAUCCCCGGGCUUAACCUGGGAAUGGCGUUUGGGACUGCAAGGCUUGAGUGCGGCAGAGGAGACUGGAAUUCCUGGUGUAGCAGUGAAAUGCGUAGAUAUCAGGAGGAAUACCGAUGGCGAAGGCAGGUCUCUGGGCUGACACUGACGCUCAUGCACGAAAGCGUGGGGAGCAAACAGG